GCUUCCCACUGGGCGGUUAAUAGAAACAUUCCAAAGCAAUGAGCACCAGUCAGAAGUAAAGCUCUUAAAACAGGACAAGAAGAAAUGGGUGGGAAGCUGGAAUGAGAACAUUCAUCAGCAGCUCAAAGCACAGACUUCUAAGGGAAUCUUUCCUCACCCUCUGCCUCUUUGGAAUAUUACUGCUUUUGGGGAAACUACAUGCAACAGACAUCAUUCCAGGCACAGGAGCUAAAACUAUUAAGAACAUACACCUCUUGCUCUCAAGUUGUGUGCAAGCUAGCAGGAAGGGCUGAGAGAAAAACAGGCAAUUUCAGUUUUUAUGCUCAGCGUUGUUGACCAUCUAACUCACCUUGGAAGUCGAGACAGAACACCAGCUGAGAUUGACGUUAAAGCAUCAUCCAGGCGACCU